rnacentral:piRNA from 1 species
AUGGCUCAGCUGUGGUAACCAAGGAGCA